CAACAAAGUAGGGUGUAUCAGAGGCACCUGCAAGUCUGGCGCAAUUUGAAUCUGAAAUAUUUUCACUUCCCACUGCGUUUGUUGCAGAUACCUUGAAAUUUCUUAUAUUCAUCACUUCUUCAAAAUCAUCGUUGUUAUUAGAGCGACUGCCAGAUCUUAUCAUGCAAUGCAUUAAUAAAGUAGCCUUUAUCUUGCCUGAGUUUGUUUACAUUUUGAUAACUGUAUUUCAAUACAGCAGGUUCUGUCUGGAGUCCUUUGUGCUUGUUUUAGGCAUGAAGAACAUGACUCCAAGAAUCCGUCCAUCCACCUCCCCAGGCUGCCGAAGACGGGAGCACGGCACACAAGGAAUCCAGUGCUGCUAAAAAAAAAAAAAAAAAGGACAACUGUUUACUCACUGAAGAGCAAAUAUAUACGUUGUUGGAUGAGGAAGAAAAAGUUCCGUUGGGACGGGGCGUGGUGGUUCACACCUGUAAUCCCAGCACUGUGGGAGGCUGAGACAGGAGGAUUGCUUGAGCCCAAAAGUUCGAGUCCAGACUGGGCAAGAUGGCGAAACCCCGUCCCUCCAAAAAAUACAAAUAUUAGCUGGGCGUGGUGGUGUGCACCUAGUCCCAGCUACUUGAGAGGCUGAGGUGGGAGGAUCGUUUGAGCCUGGGAGGCAGAGGUUACAGGGAGCAGGAGGUUACAGUGAGAUGAGAUUGCGUCACUGCACUCCAGCCUGGGCGACAGCAAGACCCCGUCUCAGAAAAAAGAAAAAGUUCCAUUGCUCCCCACCACCCAAAUGAAUGCCACCUAAAACAGCUCCUGAAUGGCUGGGGGCCAGAGUGGCGGGUUUUGGGAGAAACAAACCACAGCUGCCAGUUAUGAGGCACCAGCUGCACCACAUCGUUUCAUUAGAUCCCCCGCGAUGCCAUGAGGCAGGAGCUCUUCAACUCACUUUCCACAUGAGGAAAAUAAGGUUUCGGGAAGUUAAGAAACUUGUUUCUGCCACACACAUCUUACCUUCUGAUUUGAUUUUGUGAGAAAAGCCUGGUUUGUUUGUUUGUUUGUUUGUUUUUGCCUGAGCAUGGUGCACAUUUCAAUCUGGAAUGAAGGAGUAUAGUGAGGGGGAGGUGCGGCGCACCUCAGCUGUGCAGGUGUGUGGUGUUACUUAAAGCACACCAUAGCGGCUACUGGGAAGCCUGGGUCCCAGCCCUGUUGCUAAGCUGCUGCUUGACCUGGAGUAGCUCCCUUUUCCCAGCGUGCCUCAGUUUCCUCAUGGGAAAGCUCACUACCAGCUGAAGGUGAGUGGACUGGGGAUGGAGAGGAGGGGACAGAGCUGGGGUGCAGGCCGGCAGACGGGUGGAGUGUGGGAGAGGCUGAGAUGGGGAGAGUCCGGGGAGCAAUGGGGUUCCAAGGAGGGGGCUGAGUCCUGGCCUGGGGAAGUCAGGUUCAAGGCGCUGGCGUCCCAGCUGAUCCCUGGACCUGAACAGGGACCUGUUCCCUGUCCUGCUUGGAAGUCCCAUCCUGGGUGUGGGCAGCCAGAGAAAGGAAGCGUUCUCCCAGUGCUGCCAUGGGCUGCAGCCCUACCCUGCUGGGCUGAGUUCUGUGUUUAAUGGAGGGAGGAGGAGGAGAGGGGUGAAGAGCUGGGCCUUCUGGUAGCUUUUUAUAAUUAUUUCUAAAAUGCUAUAUUUGGAUAUUAUUUUCUGCUUCUACAAAUAAAACAUGCAUAUUGUAAAAAAAUUCAAACAUAACAAAAAUCUGAAAUUGCUGGAAAUGCUUUCCCAGGGCUGCUCCCUAGAACAAACUAUUAAUUAUUAGGUGCUCAUUGUACAUGCUUU
rnacentral:lncRNA from 10 species